ACGCCGCGUGAGCGAAGAAGGCCUUCGGGUUGUAAAGCUCAGUCACUCGGGAAGAGCGACCUAAGGAGUGGAAAGCCUUAGGGGAGACGGUACCGAGGGAGGAAGCCCCGGCAAACUACGUGCCAGCAGCCGCGGUAAUACGUAGGGGGCAAGCGUUGUCCGGAAUCACUGGGCGUAAAGCGUGCGUAGGCGGUUUUUUGGGUCUGGGGUGAAAGUUCAGGGCUCAACCUUGAGAAUGCCUUGGAAACUAGAAGACUUGAGUGCUGGAGAGGCAAGGGGAAUUCCACGUGUAGCGGUGAAAUGCGUAGAGAUGUGGAGGAAUACCAGUGGCGAAGGCGCCUUGCUGGACAGUGACUGACGCUGAGGCACGAAAGCGUGGGGAGCAAACAGGAUUAGAUACCCUGGUAGUCCACGCCGUAAACGAUGAGUGCUAGGUGUUGGGGGGUCAUACUCUCAGUGCCGAAGGAAACCCAAUAAGCACUCCGCCUGGGGAGUACGGUCGCAAGACUGAAACUCAAAGGAAUUGACGGGGGCCCGCACAAGCAGUGGAGCAUGUGGUUUAAUUCGAAGCAACGCGAAGAACCUUACCAGGGCUUGACAUCCCUCUGACCGGUACAGAGAUGGACCUUCCCUUCGGGGCAGAGGAGACAGGUGGUGCAUGGUUGUCGUCAGCUCGUGUCGUGAGAUGUUGGGUUAAGUCCCGCAACGAGCGCAACCCUUGAUCUGUGUUACCAGCACGUGAUGGUGGGGACUCACAGGUGACUGCCGGCGUAAGUCGGAGGAAGGUGGGGAUGACGUCAAAUCAUCAUGCCCUUUAUGUCCUGGGCGACACACGUGCUACAAUGGGCGGUACAACGGGAA
rnacentral:rRNA from 1 species